rnacentral:rRNA from 1 species
CCUACGGGCGGCAGCAGUGGGGAAUAUUGCGCAAUGGGCGAAAGCCUGACGCAGCGACGCCGCGUGAGGGAAGAAGGUCGUCGGAGCGUAAACCCCGGUCAGCAGGGAAGAAAGGUCACGGGGCUAACCAGCAGUGAAUUGACGGUACCGGCAAAGGAAGCACCGGCUAACUCCGUGCCAGCAGCCGCGGUAAUACGGAGGGUGCGAGCGUUAAUCGGAAUUACUGGGCGUAAAGCGCUCGUAGGCGGUAUGUCAAGUGACGGGCGAAAUCCCCGCGCUCAACCUGGGAACUGCCUUUGAAACUGGCAGCCUGGAGUGUGUGAGAGGAUAGUGGAAUUCCUGGUGU